rnacentral:rRNA from 1 species
AUUGAACGCUGGCGGCAGGCCUAACACAUGCAAGUCGAACGAGUGGCGGACGGGUGAGCAAUGUCUGGGAAACUGCCUGUUGGAGGGGGACAACUACUGGAAACGGUAGCAAAUACCGUAUACCAUCGGCUGGGCCCAGAUGGGAUGAGCUAGUAGGAGGGGUAAAGGCUCACCUAGGCGACGAUCCCUAGCUGGUCUGAGAGGAUGACCAGCCACACUGGAACUGAGACACGGUCCAGACUCCUACGGGAGGCAGCAGUGGGGAAUAUUGCACAAUGGGCGCAAGCCUGAUGCAGCCAUGCCGCGUGUAUGAAGAAGGCCUUCGGGUUGUAAAGUACUUUCAGCGGGGAGGCGUUACCCGCAGAAGAAGCACCGGCUAACUCCGUGCCAGCAGCCGCGGUAAUUC